UUGUUGUACUAUUAAACUCUUAAUUAUUCAGUACCCCGAACCAGAAGAUAGACAUGCAUAUCAUUUUCCAGUUCUGAUUAAUUUUACGUGUAUGAUGAAUUCGAUUGUAGAGAUAAGGUUGAAACGACAAGUCGCAUAUCUCGUAGAAGUCAAGGAAUUCCACCAGAAUUGAGUGAUGGCCUCAUUGAUAAAAUUGACGCAAGGAAAUUGUCGAAACAGUCCGCUACUUGUGAGGAGUUUUCGUGCGAUGGUAUGGUUAAAACAAUAAGAAGUUUGAGAAGAAAUGAUCCCUUAUUGGAUACAAGUAUACAACACUUACUGAUUGGCAAGUUGAUCUGGAAAGGUUAGAGUUGAACCCCAAUGGCAGAACACAAGUAGUGAAAGGUGCCAUUUCAGCUGUGAAGUUUCUUCCCGCAGCGAAUAUGAAAGUAAUUGUUGUAGGCGAUGAGCUUGGCUAUUUUGGGCUAUGGAACAUGGAUUUUGAAGAGGAGAACGGGGACAUUGGAAUUUAUCGGUUUCAACCUCACCAUUCCAAAAUAUCUGGAAUUUCAAUUGAGCCAUUCUCCAUGUUGAAGCUAUUUACUUCAAGUUAUGAUCAACGUAUUACGUUGCUGGAUGUUGAAAAGGAGGCUUUCAAAGAUGUAUAUCAGGAUACUUAUGCAAUAUAUUCCAUAUGUCAUCGAGUAGAGGACGUAAACUGUUUAUAUUUUGGCGACGAAGUUGGAGUGUUAAAAAUAUUUGAUGUAUGAGCUAGCACACUAUUAUCACUAAAAUGGGGAUUGCACGAAGAGAGAAUCGAUACGAUACAUUGCAAGCCAGAUGAUCCUAAUAUUGUAAUUACAAGCUCGGUAGAUAGGACUUUCUCUGUGUGGACUUGAGGAGUAUUAGGAGAGAUCAACUAAAGUCAUUAACUAUUGGACAUGGCGGUCCAAUUCAUUCCGCGUACUUACCUUUUUGGAGUUUUCUUGCAACAACAAGGUUUGUGCUACUAGUGAAGCCCCUUUGAUUCCUAAUUUCCUACAUACAGGAAAUGCUUUAAGAAUUUUGACAGAAAAGAGGGAAUAAAAGCUGCUUAUUUAGGAAAUAAAAAUCGAAUGUUCUACUUCACUAGUAUGUCAUAUGAAAUUAGAUAAUUCAGUGAAUUCAGAUUUCAAAAUUACUUCUAAUCCUAGAAGUACUUUCAAAACAAAUAUUUGAUAGUGCAAUGCUUCAAAAGAAUAUUGUUAAUGUUUUUAGAAGGUAUAUUCUAGUGAAGAUGUUUUUGUAGGAAAUUUUAAGAGGAAAGGUCUUCAUAGUAAAAGCAUCAAACCACUCUUAUCAGUUUGUUCUUUUGCUUACUUUUCUUGAGAAACUUGACCGUUUGUUUUGAUUCUAUCAACUGUUUGGUAUCUCCUCGAUCAGUAGUUAUGUUGGUAAUUUCAUGUUUAACACAGCUUGGAAAAUACUAUUGGUCUAUUUGGAGGAGAAAACUAUGAGGAGUAGUUCCUGAUACCCCACAACAACCUAAGUGGUGAAUAUAUUUCCACAUUAAGAGCAAUCUGGGGCUGGGAUGACUCAUAUGAGUACAUUGGCAAGAUUGAGGAAAAGCAGAAGCAUAAAAGAAAAAGAAAGCUCAAAAAAUUAGAGGUGAUUGAUGACAAUAUUGAUAACGUUGAAAAGAAGAUUGAUGAUGACAAAAAUGGAGUCGAUAUCAUCUCUACGGUUGAGAAGAAGGUUGUGUGUACUUUGCAAAGUGAUGAUAUGCCUACUGUUCCAUACUGUUUGGCUGCUCAUCCUUAUAUGGUUGGAACACUUGCUGGUGCCACAGGCAAAGGUAAUGUAUGUAUGUGGGCAGAAGAAGUUGCAGAUCCAGAAUCUUGAGUUUAUAGGUUCUGAAUUCGAAAAAAGCGGUUUACUGGAGUGUGGAUAAACAAUUUAUACAUAUUCUGUGAGUUCUUAACACAAAUACAGGAUUUUGGUCAAAACUAUUUGGUUCGCCGAAACCGCCUCUGGAUAGAAGCUUGACACUCACUAUGUUUUCUUAAGGACAAUGUAUUUGUUUCUAUUUUGAGAUAUGCUCUGGUGAAGUAGCUGUUGACAUGCAUAGUGUAAAUAUCUAAUUGUUUUAUCUUUUUUUUU